UUAACUCUUUCAGCCGGGCUGGGGCUGAGAAAGCGUUUGUCGCCGCCAACCCAUCCACUACGCAAGCCCAUCUGAGACAGAAGAGAAAGAAAAAGCACCAAUGUGUCUAAGAAUAGCGAGCAAGCAGAACACCACUAAUAACCAGAGUGGAAAAAAAAAUGCAUAUAUAUGCACACACACGCACAAUGUAAGCGGUGGAGGGCGCGGCUAGUGGAUCCUGGUUCUUUAGGCCGGCUCCUGCUGCAGUGGGAAUUCCUAGAGCCUUUGGGGUGGAAUACACUUACGCUGGAUCUAUAGGGAAAGGUCGACUGAUUGCUUUUCAAAUACAUCGCUGGGCUCUGCUGACCGGCACCCUCCAAACACACAAGGACACGCACGCUACUUGCUAGAAUCCCAGAGGAGGGGGGGGGGAGGGAAGAAGGGAGGGAGAGCAGAGAGGCAGAGAGGGGGUGGGGGAGCGAGCGAGCAGCGGCAGCGAGCGGUCCGUCUCGCACGCGCGGGCACCGCGCUGGUCCUGGGCUGCAGGUUUCCCAGAUGAUGGCAUCCGAGAACUUAAACAAAGGGGGACGCCGCCGGCGCAAAGCGGCUGCGGAAAGUUGCGGUGGCGGAUUUCCAAGGAGCGUGGCCACGACCCGAACCCUUGGCGAUGCGAGCUCUCCCUUUCCACCCCCGCCGAGACAGAAAUGGGGGCCUGCUGGUGAAAGAAAAAGGAAACUUUGAAACCACUGGGGAUACAGCUGCCUAUAGACCGGUUGCGAACCCACAGCGCCGCAGAGGGAACGCCUGCGCCUCGGCCGGACACUAAGAGAGUUCGCUCGACCCCACUCCCAUUUUCUCUUCCUACGGAACAUCAAUGCGUGUAAACAUGACUUCAUAGCGGCUGCACUCUUCAUACGUCCUGUCCUUUUUCAGCCACAAGGCACAGCGCGAUAGGCAGGCGACGAAAAUGUUACACCGCUAAGAGAAUUCAUGUAAGCAUUUAUUUGAGGGCUGGAGACCAGAAGUUCGCAAUCAAGGUGUCAGCAGGGCCACACGUCCCCUGAGGUUCUAGAGGAGAGAUGGUUGCAUGUCUCUCUCCUAGCUUCUGGAGGCUCCCAGAAAUUAUUGGCAUUCCUUAGUUCGUUGUUUCUUCACCCCAUUCCUGCCUCUGCUUUUGCACGGCUGUCUUUCUCUUGUGGAUGUUUGGGACUACAGUUUCCUCCUCUUGAAAGGACACCACCAGUCACCGAACUAGUGUCUACCCUCAUCCAGGAGGACCUCGUGUUCACUUGAUGACAUCUGCGAAGACCCUCUCUCCAAAUACGGUCACAUUCACAGGUUCCUGGGGUUAGGGCUUGGAUGUAUUUUUGGUGGAACACAAUUCAACCCCACAGCAAUGUGGAAAUAUUUGGCCAGAGAUAUCCUUUGGAAGUCGUGAAAAAGUAAGUGCUAUUUAAACCCACCG